AUACAAAUUAAAUAGAUUUAGAAGUUUCCUCAUAAGCAUGUCCAAAUGACUGACUCUUCUUGUUCCAGGUCGUGCCUGCAGCAUGGGCUGGAUCACUGAUCUGCAGGACUGAGAGCACUGCAUUGCCUCCUCCAACAGGCUGCUCAGAGUUCUUGCCCCUCUGAAGUGAGCUGUCUGCCUGCAGCCCCUGCUCCCCUUUUGCCCAUCCCCACCACAGGUACCUCAUUUCACAUGCACUUUGUACAUACGACUUGCAGCAAUAGUGAAUAUACCCAUGUGGAGACAUUGAAUAUUCUUCUGUGUGAAAUAACUGAGCCCUUGCUAUGCAAAAUGCCUUGUAUGUACACACAGGAGCAUUUCACUGUGUAAUGAAGGUGAAAUGCAGAGCUCCUGAGGAAAGUUUGUAAUUAAAUACACAGAGCACUGGGCAUAGUAAUUAGCAGUCAUUAUUUCUGUAGAGUUAAAAAUAUCAGACAAACCUGUAUUUGAUUGCUUCUUGGUAUUGAUUCACUUGUUUUAGAGAACUGAAGAAACACUCUAUUUGCCUGCACAUCGAAUCCGUGCUAGAGGUGUUUGUUAGCAUUUGUCAUCCUGCAGCAAUGUGUCCUGGAGAAACACACAGCAUGCUGCAGCACUUUCUUGGGUUUUGGUAGGUUUUUUUUUUCCCAGUGACAGACAUAAUCACAUAAAAAUGUAGAAGUGAUGAUAAAAGUAGUGGUACCUCAUUUUGGCUCUAAAUAGUUAUGCUUUUAAGCUAUGCCUUCCAAAGAAAAUUAGGUAAGAUGAAUACUAGGAGUUAGUUGACUGAGGUACAAGAGGUAAUCAAAUAGCAAAAAUAAUUUUAGUCUAGAUAUUUAAGAUCAAUUUAUGAGAAAUCUCUGGGGGUGGUCUGAGUGGUCUGCAUGCCUGGCCUUGCCUAAGUAGUGCAUUCUGUAGGGUAGUACCCAAACCUCAACUCUUCUAUUCAAGUGUUCUUUUUCUCACCUAAUGAACAGUAAACAGGAGUCAAUUGUGCUCUUCACAGAACCCUUCCUGUUCAAACCUCUUCUCUUACUUACUGGAUUAUCCAGAAACACCCUCCCAUGGAGCCAGUGAGAUGCAUCUGAUUCAGUAGCCAUAUGAGCCAGAUAUCCCUUUAUUUCUGGAGACAGCCCUAGUGCCUGGCUGAUGCUCCCGUUUUUUGCUUUGGGCCAUAAAUUGAUUACUGCUGAACUCAGAAAGGAAAACUGUCUUCUGAACCUCUGCCUGCUGCUACAGGGAAAUGGACCAGACAGAGACUACUUAAUCUUCAUAAAGACACUAGGUCUGCACAAUGUCUCCAUGCCCCAAGCAGUGACUCAUCAAGAGAAGGAGGAAAAUACAGAACUUUAUGUCUUUCUGGUGCUCUGCAAAAGACUUGGUGGGUCUAACAAGAAUGAGGAAAACAAAUAUGCAUUUCAAGAGAGACACACUUCAAAACAGGCUGAUUGUCCCCUGGAUGGAGUGGGCGAUUCCAACAAUGACUGAAGGACACUGCUGCCUGGCCAAAAUGGCUCUUCAUGGCCUUGACACUUUGCAGGAUUUUCCCUGAAGGAAAGAAAGCCUGGAACAUGAUUCAGGUGUACCUGUAUUCUGUCUCCCAGGUGGAUAUAGAACUAAAUGAUCAACAGGGGAGCAGUGGCAGAGUCGGCAGUGGAACCAAGCCCUUCUCUGCUCACUCAGCUCCACUGCAUUUGCCUUUGCAAGUAAGAUUAAUGUUAAAAUUGCUUUUCCGUCAUCUUGUAUUUCUCAUUCCCUUCCCCCAGUAAAAUACAAUGAGCAAAGCUGUGAUUCAAGCACAAUUAGAAAUUGCCUGAGCAGUGGCAGUCAGUGGGGCUGACCCCUAGCCCAGCGUGUCUGCCAGCACAGCAGACAGCAGUUCAGAGAAGGAGAGGGACUUUCCACACACACACAUCUACCUGGGAAACUUUCUUCCCAAGGCCCCGCACAGCUUAACCCUCUGAACCCUGAAAGGUAGUUUGAGAUUUGUGUUUUCUUCACUGGUGUUUGAUAUGCAGCCCUGGAGAUGAAUUGGAAAUUUAGAGAAAUGCAGUGAGUAAAGGAGAAACACUUCCCUGUAGUAUGAGUCAGGACACAAAGAUCUGUGUCUCCCAGCUAUUUACUUUUACCAGAGCUAAAUUGUUUCAAACCACAGAACUCUGAGCACUCUUUAAAAGGCCCCUUUGUGAAUUUGUCAUCUGUCUAAUACAAGAAAGAGCUACUUGGCUGGUAGAUAUUGCAGGUAUUGUGUAUUUAGCUGCAUUCAAAGUACUCCUACACGUUCAGGCUGCCACACAACAUCAUUUCAGUGCUAAAAAUUGAGAAGUGCUGCAGUCAUGCAACCACCUCGAACACGCAUGUGAAAGGACAAUACAUUGUCUGAGAGCCAGGGCUCUUAUAAAACAUGGAGGAGCCAUAGAGAAGCAGCUGCUAACAACACAGAUAUUGGUUAAUAUUACUAGUGAAUGACUCCUCCUGUAAGGAUAACACAUAAAAUCUUGGAAGCUUACUGUGUGCUGCAAGGUGCUAACACUCAAACCAGAUAGCUCAGAUGACCAAAUUCAUAAUCCUAUUUUCUUCCCCCCCACCCCAAGGACUCUAAUCAGAGCUAUUUGUGGGCCUUUAGAAUCAUUACUGGAUAAAACACAAGGCUCUGCUACCUCAUUUAUGAACUGAGGGCUGUAAAGAAUAUCCCAGUAAAGGAUUCCAGGAGACAGAGACAUCAGAUUUAAGGGUUAACUUAUGGCAUAAAUCCAUCAUUGACUGAAACUCUUACAGUGUGCAGCAAGCUUGUCUAUUUUUAUGACUUAACCUUUACUGCUCUACAUCUGCUAAUCAGCUCUAUAUUAUGCAGAUGGUAUUUAUGUUUAUAGAGAUUCAACUGAAUGACCUUGGUGCUAACACUGCAAGAUUUCUGGAUUCUGUUUUCAGUCAUAUUCCUCGAUGGUGACGUCCUCACCUCCUGGAUGAGGCUCACUGACAUAUUUGUUUCCUACUGUGAUGGGACUGUUGCUACAAUACAGUGACUCAGCUAAUGUAAGUUGUUUUCCCUGUAUAAGGAAUCAAAACAUAGCAUAUUCUGUAAAAAUACACAGACUCAAAAGAAAACCAACGUUAAUUACCCAUAAAUAGCUAAUUAGUUUCAACUACUUUGCCUAAAUCUGUGAUAAAUCUAGAUUUCUUGCAAAAUAUAAGCACCUGGCUUUUCCUGUCGUUCUCAUUGCCUUGUAUUUAGUAUUUAGUAGUUAUCCAUGGAUUAUGGAAUGUGAAGAAGCAGACUAUGGAAAGCACUUUGAGCCCUUGACAGAAAGUUAAAAUUUCUGUGCAUAUAGGACAAAUACUAAAUAUUACUCUAUAAAAUAAAUUUUAAACAUUGAAAUAAAACUCUCCCCUAUAGCUUUCAUAGUUGGCAAAAAUGGGGCUGCCUCACAACUAACCAUCAUCCAGGAUUCCUGCUGCAGAGGAACCCCCCCGCGUUUGCACGAGUGCCCUGUUUGCUAUAGAAACAACAGCUGCUUUUGGAGGAGGCAGCUCUCCUAUUUCAAUGCUCUCCUGGAAGUUGUCCUGCGAACUGUUAGAAUUAUUUAUUUACUUAUUUACUGGGGGAGGGAAAUGGGUAUACCUUGGGCAUCUCUCCUGGUCCUAAGAGAUGGCAGAGAAAGAGGUUCAGCCUUGGAGUGAUACCCAUGUUUCUAGAUCAGAGCCAACAUCAGGGAAAAAAGACAAACACACUUUGAAUAAGUACUAAUAUCUAGUAUUAAGAGAAAUUCCUCUUUAAGGGUUCUUACCUCUAAUUUCCCACCUCAUGACAUUUCAUAUGUCUUUCUUCCACGCUCUGGUUUGAUUUCCAUUCACAAACUGCAACAGUUACUCCACAAAGGGGCAGGUAAAAUGAGGGUCUUCAUCCCAGACCACUGCAAAGUGCUUUGGGUUAAAAUCUAAAUACAAAGUAUGAAAGUGAACAGCUUAGAAGGAACUACAACCAAGCAAAGGUUGUGGCUGAUUGUGGAACUUCUAGAAAUAUAAGCUUUGGGAAGUUCCAAAAUCUAUUAAAUUACUUUAAAAAGCUCUAAUUUUUCAAUCCCUAUGAGAAAAGAAGUAUUGUGUAACCAGGAACAAUGUAACUUUGUUUAUCUAUUUUAUAUAGUAGUUUUAUUUUAUUUCAGACUGAAAAUAACAGGAAUAGGAAUAUUUUAGCACAGCAGUUUUGUAAAGGAUGGGAAAGGGGAUUAUCACACAACUCUUUAAAAACCUUAUACCAUUUCUGAGUGUCAUAUGUCAGAGAUUACUUCUUGUUCUCUCUCAGUUCUCUAAAAGAAACAGAAUUAAUCUCUAAAACCGAAAAUGUUUCUAAGAAAUCGAGUGCUUAAAGCACAGCUACCCUUAGAGUGAUUUGAACAUAGGAUUAGUGCGGUGCAACUGCAUGAUGAGAUAGCUAUAACAUAUUAAAACUUUGAAAGUCUUCCUGAUUUUCUAAGACAUUCAAAUCUUGAUAAAGACCUAAACCUGUUGUUCUGUCUUGCACCUUCAUCUUUUAGCCCAUUGAUUUCAAAUAGCAUAUUGGAAAAGAAAUUUCUUUCUAAUUUUCAUUCAUUAAUGGUCUCUGAAAGGACUACAGCACUUAAUGAAACAGAUAAAAUUUAAAAAUUGAUGUGACAGUUUUAAGAGUAGUUACAGCAAAUUAGCAACCAUUACAUUAUGAUUUCAAUUCACAACAUCAUACAAACAUGUCACUGUGAUGCACUAGUCUUCAUGACAAUACCAAAAUAUAUUGGGUAGACUGGUAUUAUCUGUUUCCAGAUAUUUUUAACUGGGAAUAUCCUAUAGAUUUGCUUUUAGGAAGCACUCUGACAUGUAUUUUAUGUCCAGCUGAUUAUUGGUUGGGUUCUACAUCAAACAGUAGAAUAGAACAUAUGCUUAAGAUUGUGUUGCUAUAUUGCUUAGUCUAUGAUUAAUCCAGCAAGCCUGGGCUGGAACAGAGGUUUUUCUCCAUUGUCCUGUGAAAUUAGGACCCUCUGAAAUCAGCUGUUUUCUCAUUAGUGGGCAACGAAAGCAGCUGCACUGCUUUAGAUGGUCAUACAUUGAUAGUGGUGUGGCCAGAGGAGCAUUUCAGGGCACGAGUGGUCCUCACACAGCUGAUGACAGGCUGCUCCAGUCUGUACAGAACCAACUACAGAACACAUCUGACAGGAUUACAUUUCCUCAGCUGGUGCUGAACCUACUCUGGUUAAACAGAAAAUGAAAAUUACCUGAUAACAGCAAAUACAUUGCCCUGCCAUUUAUUGUGCACUCCACUGCACAGAUUUAAUCACGGAUUUAGCCCAAAGGUAUCAGCAAACACACAGUCAACUUCAGCGCAGCCCAAGUGUCCCUUCUCUCAUGGCCCUACCCUGUGGUUAUGAGUGAAGACCUUCAGGCUUUUAAGUCUCUGUAAGGGAGAAUCUAUGUAAAUUCUGUAUUUGUAAAAAGAGAAAGGAUCUUUUUUUGGCUAUUCAUUGAGAAAUAGUUUGUCCAGUUCACGUGAUUUUAAUGGGCAACAAGACAAACUGUUUCACAGUUCAAUACACAAUAGUAAACUUAUUAUUUGGAUUUUUCAGAUCUCUUACCCUCUGUAUUUUUCUUCUACUUCUGUUAGUCUAAAACUUCUUAGGCAGAAUUUCCAUUGCAUAAAAACUGGAUGAUAUUAAACUCAUUACAAGCAGAAAAGUGGAAAUAAUUUUCUGAAGAAAUGCAUGAACAGAGAAGUGGUAACAUCUGUGUAAAAUGCUGAGGAAGAUAAUAAUAGUGUAUUUGGCAGCACUGCAAGAAGGGACACAACAGUUCUAGACAUGGGGCUGGCUGCUUUUAAUUGCAGUGAGAAGGACCAAAGUUAUGUGCAUCAUAAUAAUGCCUAUGGGCACACAUCCAGUCUCUGUGUUUUAAAAAUAGUUCUCAGAAAUUAAUAACUCUUCACUGCUUAAAAAAAAAUUAAACUGUCUAAAUGUGUUUCACUAGCAUUAUAUCUUCAGUGCUGUGGUACAAAGGUAUCUGAGACAGAAGAUUUCAGGUAAAAAGAGCAGCUGACAAAGAAAAGUUCAUUAUCCUACGUUAGACUUGCCAGAAGUGUUGAAUUAUCCUCUGCAUACAGUUGUUUCUACUCUUUCUCUCUUUCCAGUUUCUCUCUUUCACAAGAACAGAAUUCAUAGGUGCACAUUUCCACACUUUUCCUGAGAAUCUCUGAUUCUCAAUCUUGCAACUGAAUUGAAUUUCUACUGUUAACAUGUAUUUGUCAGUAAAUUAUAUAUUCUACUGUGUUCUUUUGUAUUCCAUAAAAAAGUGGCCCUCAUGUUUUAAAAGAGAAUUUUAGAGCAGACAAGUGCAUGUCAAAUGGGAUGCUCUAGAUUUUGAGCCUCUGCUGUGCCAAGGGAAGGAUGACAAUAUUUUGUCAGCAGAAUAGAACCAGCUGAUGGCUAAUCACGAGUUCCAGUUUUGCUAUAAAAGUGAGCAAAUACAGUGAUAUAGCCACAGAGUUUGUGAACCAAGUAAUGCUGAAGUAAUUUUUUAUUUUUCUGAGUUUCCCUCCUGUUUUUAUCUGGAGGAUAUUUCACUCCUUCAGCUUUUAGGA